CCCGCCGCCAUCCAUCCUGGCGCUCCGGAUGAGUCAAUGAGGGGCAGCGCCCGAGGAAUGGUCUUCCCAAGAACCCCCGGUGGCCUCCCAAGGCCGGUGCUGUGUACCUCCUCCCCGACAAAAGGGGCAACUGAGGCCCCGAGGGGAGUGGGAAGAGCCGGCUGGACGUCAGGCCCAGCCGCUGGUGCGGUAGUCCGUCCCCUCCGCCGGGGUGGGCCCCUCGGGUUUCGCGUGUCCUCGGGAAAGAGACUGGCGGGCCUCGUGGGCUGUGCGGCUCUCCUGGAGACAGAUGACAGCUCUCCCUUGGAUGGCUUUGCUAGUUUCGCACCAGCCAGCGCCCCAUUUUUCCUGCAGCACCCUGAUCCGCACUCCCUGAGGGGCUCCCACUGUCCGCGGUGUGAGGAUGUCCCUGGAUAGUCCACUGUGUGCAGAGGCAUGGGAGUUGUCAUGUCGAUAACAUGCUAGACCUCAGUGUCCUUGAGCUUGAAGAAAGACAACAGAACACUGGAGACCAAGUACUUGCAGCCUUCUGCUCUGUGGCCCCUCCUCACUCCAGGGAUGCCGCCUUGGGUCUGGAGACUGUUAGAGGAAACCCCAAGAGGUGCAAGCACUGAGCCUCUCAGGACAAUGACCUGGGAUUCCACCUCCCCUGGAGGGGCCUCCUCAUGAUUGUUUGGGGGUUGAUCACAGACCAAGAGUGAUGAGUGAUGUCACCCUGUGAUGCAUGGCUGGACCUUCUUGCCCCUAUUGUCUCAGCACAACAUUAAUCGACUUUUCCCUCAGCGUGGGUGGGCAGAGGAAAAGCCCUGUGGCUCUGGGGACUUGGGAUCCAGAGUUGAAGACCCUUCAGCUGGCUCUGCCCUGCCAGUGCCACAGAGUGCCAUGGCCCAGGAAGACUGGUUUUCUUCCAUCUAGGCCAGGCCAUCCAGUGGCCAUCCUUCGUGUCCUCCCACCUCCUUCUGGUGUGACUUCUGAAAACCAAGAAUUUGUUCCUGUUGACUUUUUCUGUGCUAUGGACCAUUGUCCUCUGACCCACUCAAUAAAUCUUGAAACAUGC
rnacentral:lncRNA from 1 species